GUGGGGAAUAUUGGGCAAUGGGCGCAAGCCUGACCCAGCAACGCCGCGUGAAGGAAGAAGGCUUUCGGGUUGUAAACUUCUUUUACCAGGGACGAAACAAAUGACGGUACCUGGUGAAUAAGCCACGGCUAACUACGUGCCAGCAGCCGCGGUAAUACGUAGGUGGCGAGCGUUAUCCGGAUUUAUUGGGUGUAAAGGGCGUGUAGGCGGGACAGCAAGUCAGAUGUGAAAACCAGGGGCUCAACCUCUGGCCUGCAUUUGAAACUGUUGUUCUUGAGUGUCGGAGAGGUAAUCGGAAUUCCGUGUGUAGCGGUGUAAUGCGUAGAUAUACGGAGGAACACCAGUGGCGAAGGCGGAUUACUGGACGAUAACUGACGCUGAGGCGCGAAAGCGUGGGGAGCAAACAGGAUUAGAUACCCUGGUAGUCC
rnacentral:rRNA from 1 species